rnacentral:misc_RNA from 1 species
UGGGAUACGAGUUGUUCCCAGA